rnacentral:rRNA from 1 species
UACGUAGGGACCGAGCGUUAUCCGGAUUCAUUGGGCGUAAAGAGCUCGUAGGCGGCUAUUCAAGUCGAACGUGAAAUCUCGGGGCUCAACUCCGAGCCUGCGUUCGAUACUGGGUAGCUAGAGUCUGGUAGGGGGAUCUGGAAUUCCUGGUGUAGCGGUGGAAUGCGCAGAUAUCAGGAGGAACACCGGUGGUGAAGGCGGGAUCCUGGGCCAGUACUGACGCUGAGGAGCGAAAGCGUGGGGAGCAAACAGG